GAUGGGAUGACCGAGUGGUUAAGGUGGCAGUUUAGAACCUUCAAGAGAUUUAGCUGCUUCACUUUGUGAGCGUGAGUUCAAAUCUCACUUCCGUCG
rnacentral:tRNA from 1 species